AAACAGUCCUUUAGAAAAAUAGAGGAAAAAUCGAAUACAAAAAUGGUGGUAGAAAGAACACAUCUUCAACCAAAAAUAAAGGAGGAAAAAGAGGCAGAGAUCAAAAAGAUAAAACCUAAUUUCAAGGCUUACACCUCUACCAGCAUAUUGGCCAGGACAAAAAGUGUCAAAGACAAAGAGUCAUUCAGAAAAGGUUGAUGCUAAGAUUGGGAACCCUUGGUAGCCGCCCACUGCCACAGGUGGUGAAGGUAAAGAUAAAGAGAGAUCAAAGAAAAAGAAAGAGUGAAAAAAAAAAAUCUGAAAUACACCAUUGAUUCAGAUAUAUGAUAGUAUAUCUUAUAUCUGUUGAGGGGAAAUUUUUAUCGGAGCUCGUGAAUCAUGGAAGGACUAGAAGGAAGAAAUUAAUUGAAAAUGGCAUCCAUAGUUGAUAAUUAAUUUCUUCCCUCACACCCCCUUCUACAAUAAGUUUUAGACAACAUUGUACAAUGUCUUUAAUGAUGUUGUUUUUCUUUUUGUUUUAGGCAUACAUUUCUUGUAGGUAGUUGCUCCUUUUACAUAUUCCCCCCUCUUGAGUCUUGAUCCAUUGUAGACCAUUAUCAAAUAAAAAUGCUUAGGUUUAUAUAGUUGCAGCAACCAAUUAUCCCAUUCACGUGCAAUAGUGCAAGACCUUCUUGUUAUGUGGGGAAACAGGGUGAAGAAUUUCCAGAAUCAGGUAAUCCAAGACUUGUAAAGUUGGCUACAAGAUGCAGAUUCACUCGAGCUUGGCAUGUAUACGUUCUUCAAUAAGCUCUCUAUUUGUUACUAUAUGAUGAUAAUUCAGUAAGAAUUGUACUAGAAACUUAGAAUGCAGUUAGUUUAGUUCUAUAGGAGUUGCUUUUAGUUUUUCUAGUGUUUAAUACUUCUACAUGUAUUAAAUUCAUGUAUAAGUACUGAGUAGUGGGGAAGCAUAAUUACUACU